rnacentral:RNase_P_RNA from 1 species
AGCCGGUUGCGCGAUCGCGGGGGCUUAUGCCAACGAGGAAAGUCCGAGCUUCAUAAAGCAGUGUGACGGAUAACGUCCGCCGAAAGUGAUUUCAGGGAAAGUGCAACAGAAAAUUACCGCCUGCGUUUGCAUGGUAAGGUUGAAAAGGCGGGGUAAGAGCCCACCGACUCUGCGGUAACGCAGGGUGCAAUGUAAACCCCACACGAAGCAAGAUAGGAACGCGUCGAAAUACGGUCGCUUGCCGUGACGCGUUCGCAAAACGUCGCUUGAAUUUGUCGGUAACGGCAAAGGUAGAUAGAUGAUCGCGCCAGACAGAACUCGGCUUACAGACCGACUCGC